AUUGAACGCUGGCGGCAUGCUUUACACAUGCAAGUCGAACGGUAACAGGUUAAGCUGACGAGUGGCGAACGGGUGAGUAAUGCAUCGGAACGUGCCCGGUCGUGGGGGAUAACGCAGCGAAAGCUGCGCUAAUACCGCAUACGAUCUGAGGAUGAAAGCGGGGGACCGUAAGGCCUCGCGCGAUCGGAGCGGCCGAUGUCAGAUUAGGUAGUUGGUGGGGUAAAGGCCCACCAAGCCGACGAUCUGUAGCUGGUCUGAGAGGACGACCAGCCAAACGGGGACUGAGACACGGCCCAGACUCCUACGGGCGGCAGCAGUGGGGAAUUUUGGACCAUGGGCGAAAGCCUGAUCCAGCAAUGCCGCGUGCAGGAAGAAGGCCUUCGGGUUGUAAACUGCUUUUGUACGGAGCGAAAAGGUCCUUUCUAAUACAAGGGGCUCAUGACGGUACCGUAAGAAUAAGCACCGGCUAACUACGUGCCAGCAGCCGCCGCAG
rnacentral:rRNA from 1 species